AAUACAAUCCCAUCAAAUUUAUAUUCUCUCUCUCUCUCUCUCUCUCUCUCUAAAAACCAGACCGUCUCUCUAGAAACUCUCUUGUCCGAAUCUAGCUGGGGGGAAGGGGAGCUUUGGCUCCUUCUUCCUCUUCCUCUCCUCUCUCUCCUCGCCAGCCCUUUGUCUCCGAUGGAUUUGUUUGUUUUUUUUUUUUGGUUUUUUCAGGUUUUUGGCCGAAUAAAGGAGGGUAGCCGUUUCGAGAUUCU